rnacentral:rRNA from 1 species
UACGUAGGGGGCAAGCGUUGUCCGGAAUCAUUGGGCGUAAAGCGCGUGUAGGCGGCCCGAUAAGUCCGCUGUGAAAGUCCAGGGCUCAACCCUGGAAUGCCGGUGGAUACUGUCGGGCUCGAGUCCGGAAGAGGCGAGUGGAAUUCCUGGUGUAGCGGUGAAAUGCGCAGAUAUCAGGAGGAACACCGAUGGCGAAGGCAGCUCGCUGGGACGGUACUGACGCUGAGGCACGAAAGCUAGGGUAGCAAACGGG